UACAUAGGUCUCAAGCGUUGUUCGGAUUUAUUGGGCGUAAAGGGCGCGUAGGCGGCGGGGUAAGUCGGAUGUGAAAGCUCGGAGCUCAACUCCGAAAUGGCAUUGGAAACUACCUUGCUCGAGGGUUGGAGGGGGGACUGGAAUUCUCGGUGUAGCAGUGAAAUGCGUAGAUAUCGAGAGGAACACCAGUGGCGAAGGCGAGUCCCUGGACAACUCCUGACACUGAGGCACGAAAGCUAGGGGAGCAAACAGG
rnacentral:rRNA from 1 species